AUUGAACGCUGGCGGAAUGCUUUACACAUGCAAGUCGAACGGUAGAGGGGGCAACCCCUUGAGAGUGGCGAACGGGUGAGUAAUACAUCGGAACAUGCCCAGUCGUGGGGGAUAACGUAGCGAAAGCUACGCUAAUACCGCAUAUGAUCUAUGGAUGAAAGCGGGGGACCGAAAGGCCUCGCGCGAUUGGAGUGGCCGAUGGCAGAUUAGGUAGUUGGUGGGGUAAAGGCCUACCAAGCCUGCGAUCUGUAGCUGGUCUGAGAGGACGACCAGCCACACUGGGACUGAGACACGGCCCAGACUCCUACGGGAGGCAGCAGUGGGGAAUUUUGGACAAUGGGCGCAAGCCUGAUCCAGCCAUUCCGCGUGCAGGAUGAAGGCCCUCGGGUUGUAAACUGCUUUUGUACGGAACGAAAAGGUGGCCUCUAAUACAGGUUGCUGAUGACGGUACCGUAAGAAUAAGCACCGGCUAACUACGUGCCAGCAGCCGCCGUAA
rnacentral:rRNA from 1 species